rnacentral:ncRNA from 1 species
AGUUCGGUCUCUAUCCUCCGUGGGCGUAAGAAAUUUGAGUGAAUCUGACCUUAGUACGAGAGGACCGGGUUGGACGAACCUAUGGUGUAUCGGUUGUGACGCCAGUUGCAUUGCCGAGUAGCUAAGUUCGGAAGGGAUAACCGCUGAAAGCAUCUAAGUGGGAAGCCCAUCAUGAGAUAAGAUUUCUAUAAGACAGCUUGUAGACUACGAGCUUGAUAGGUCGCAUGUGUAAGCGCAGUAAUGUGUUGAGCUGAGCGAUACUAAUUAGUCUUUUUGCUUUAUUUA